rnacentral:rRNA from 1 species
UGCAGUAGACGCUGAGACUUUAGCUUGCUAAAGUUGGAAGAGUUGCGAACGGGUGAGUAACGCGUAGGUAACCUGCCUACUAGCGGGGGAUAACUAUUGGAAACGAUAGCUAAUACCGCAUAACAGCAUUUAACCCAUGUUAGAUGCUUGAAAGGAGCAAUUGCUUCACUAGUAGAUGGACCUGCGUUGUAUUAGCUAGUUGGUGAGGUAACGGCUCACCAAGGCGACGAUACAUAGCCGACCUGAGAGGGUGAUCGGCCACACUGGGACUGAGACACGGCCCAGACUCCUACGGGAGGCAGCAGUAGGGAAUCUUCGGCAAUGGGGGCAACCCUGACCGAGCAACGCCGCGUGAGUGAAGAAGGUUUUCGGAUCGUAAAGCUCUGUUGUAAGAGAAGAACGUGUGUGAGAGUGGAAAGU